ACACAGAGAGGCAGAAAGCCGAACAGGAGUGGUUGAAUGGUGGGAGACAAAGAUUCUACAAGGACAGGAAGAAACAACCCAAAACCCAACAGCCCAACUCAAAAGAAAGCAGCCAUCCGGGGUUUCUACAGGUGUUUGGACCUGAAUGGAGCUCGUGGCUUUUCUUGGAGAUCAGCUCAGUUGCCAAGAACAGCCCUGGGAAUCAUCGCCUCCCACGCCAAAAGCUGGGGAUAUGAUAAUUGUCGUCUGAUGACAGGAGAUGACAUUUUUAAACAGUGACUUUCAACUUCAUAUCAUGGAUGUCAUCUUUAACCAUCUAUAUACUGCCUCAACUCCCACAUGAAAGGGGAGAGGGGUGUGUCUGGGAGAUAGCCCCCUUCCAAACCUAAAUUCACCAAAACGCUGUAUUGGCUUAAAAAAAAAACAAA